GGAUUAGAUACCCUGGUAGUCCAUGCCGUAAACGUUGGGAACUAGAUGUAGGGACCAUUCCACGGUUUCUGUGUCGCAGCUAACGCAUUAAGUUCCCCGCCUGGGGAGUACGGCCGCAAGGCUAAAACUCAAAGGAAUUGACGGGGGCCCGCACAAGCGGCGGAGCAUGCGGAUUAAUUCGAUGCAACGCGAAGAACCUUACCAAGGCUUGACAUAUACCGGAAAAGUUCAGAAAUGUUCUCCCCGCAAGGUCGGUAUACAGGUGGUGCAUGGUUGUCGUCAGCUCGUGCC
rnacentral:rRNA from 1 species